UCCUACGGGAGGCAGCAGUAGGGAAUCUUCCGCAAUGGACGAAAGUCUGACGGAGCAACGCCGCGUGAGUGAUGAAGGCUUUCGGGUCGUAAAACUCUGUUGUUAGGGAAGAACAAGUGCUAGUUGAAUAAGCUGGCGCCUUGACGGUACCUAACCAGAAAGCCACGGCUAACUACGUGCCAGCAGCCGCGGUAAUACGUAGGUGGCAAGCGUUAUCCGGAAUUAUUGGGCGUAAAGCGCGCGCAGGUGGUUUCUUAAGUCUGAUGUGAAAGCCCACGGCUCAACCGUGGAGGGUCAUUGGAAACUGGGAGACUUGAGUGCAGAAGAGGAAAGUGGAAUUCCAUGUGUAGCGGUGAAAUGCGUAGAAAUAUGGAGGAACACCAGUGGCGAAGGCGACUUUCUGGUCUGUAACUGACACUGAGGCGCGAAAGCGUGGGGAGCAAACAGGAUUAGAUACCCUGGUAGUCCACGCCGUAAACGAUGAGUGCUAAGUGUUAGAGGGUUUCCGCCCUUUAGUGCUGAAGUUAACGCAUUAAGCACUCCGCCUGGGGAGUACGGCCGCAAGGCUGAAACUCAAAGGAAUU
rnacentral:rRNA from 1 species